rnacentral:rRNA from 1 species
GAUGAACGCUGGCGGCGUGCCUAAUACAUGCAAGUCGAGCGAACGGACGAGAAGCUUGCUUCUCUGAUGUUAGCGGCGGACGGGUGAGUAACACGUGGAUAACCUACCUAUAAGACUGGGAUAACUUCGGGAAACCGGAGCUAAUACCGGAUGAUAUUUUGAACCGCAUGGUUCAAAAGUGAAAGACGGUCUUGCUGUCACUUAUAGAUGGAUCCGCGCUGCAUUAGCUAGUUGGUAAGGUAACGGCUUACCAAGGCAACGAUGCAUAGCCGACCUGAGAGGGUGAUCGGCCACAAUGGAACUGAGACACGGUCCAGACUCCUAGGGGAGGCAGCAGUAGGGAAUCUUCCGCAAUGGGCGAAAGCCUGACGGAGCAACGCCGCGUGAGUGAUGAAGGUCUUCGGAUCGUAAAACUCUGUUAUUAGGGAAGAACAUAUGUGUAAGUAACUGUACACAUCUUGACGGUACCUAAUCAGAAAGCCACGGCUAACUACGUG